CUCGACUGCAUAAUUUGUGGUAGUGGGGG
rnacentral:piRNA from 5 species